CCCUUAGAUGUUCUGGGCCGCACGCGCGCUACACUGACCAGUGCAACAAGCAUCCGUCCUUGGCCGACAGGCCCGGGCAAUCUUUGAACGCUGGUCGUGAUGGGGAUAGACUUUUGCAAUUUUUGGUCUUCAACGAGGAAUUCCUAGUAAACGCAAGUCAUCAACUUGCAUUGAUUACGUCCCUGCCCUUUGUACACACCGCCCGUCGCACCUACCGAUUGAAUGGUCCGGUGAAGCCUCCGGAUUGGCGCGCACCUCGGUGCCGCCGAGAAGUUGGCUAAACCUUACCAUUUAGAGGAAGGUGGAGUCGUAACA
rnacentral:rRNA from 1 species